UUUUUGGUGACAUGUGUGACAAGAAAAAAGGCCAGUAGUUUUAUUUGAGUGUCUUCUGUUUGUGCCCCAGGAAUGACUCUGGUGAAUAUCAAUGUUGUGGAUGGCAUGGAUGCACUCUGAAAAAGGAGAUGUGAUCCUAACUAAAUUGAAGCAGUUCAAUGGGGAGCGUCUCACAAACGUUGUGCACUGGCUAAAUAGACCUGCCAUGACAAAUGGC
rnacentral:lncRNA from 12 species